UUUUUUUUUUAAAUGGACUUGUGUGAAAUCAUACUACUUUUCAGCUGUGUCAUUGCAGGUGAAAUUUGCCUCUGUGUGCACUGACAUUUUAAACGCCAUGAAGCACAGAUGAAGGACUUUAAAAGUUUAUUUUCAGAUGUCAUCCAUCUGCAUUCUGAGGCUGUAUUGUUGAAUUUGUUUGUGGUCCAGAGKCCAUCUACAUACUUCCCUGCAGUUCAGCAUCACUUAAAUACAGUGAAGAUGAAUCCGUAGAGAUGCUUUUCAUAGUAGUAAAGUGACAUUUUAUUCUGAGUUCUUACUUAGACAUGUGUCCUUUAGGUGUCUCCGAGAGGCUUAUUUGGCAAAGGAUGGGAAACUGGUUAUAUGUCAU